AUUGAACGCUGGCGGCAUGCCUAACACAUGCAAGUCGAACGGUAACGCGGGGGCAACCCUGGCGACGAGUGGCGGACGGGUGAGUAAUACGUAGGAAUCUGCCCAUUUGUGGGGGAUAACCCGGCGAAAGCCGGGCUAAUACCGCAUACGCUCUACGGAGGAAAGCGGGGGAUCGUAAGACCUCGCGCUAAUGGAUGAGCCUACGUCGGAUUAGCUAGUUGGUAGGGUAACGGCCUACCAAGGCGACGAUCCGUAGCUGGUCUGAGAGGACGAUCAGCCACACUGGGACUGAGACACGGCCCAGACUCCUACGGGAGGCAGCAGUGGGGAAUAUUGGACAAUGGGGGCAACCCUGAUCCAGCAAUGCCGCGUGUGUGAAGAAGGCCUGCGCGUUGUAAAGCACUUUCAGAGGGGAAGAAAAAUCGGAGCUAUCACCUCGGUCUUGACGUUACCCUUAGAAGAAGCACCGGCUAACUCCGUGCCAGCAGCCGCGGUAAUACGGAGGGUGCAA
rnacentral:rRNA from 1 species